UACGAAGGGGGCUAGCGUUGCUCGGAAUUACUGGGCGUAAAGCGCACGUAGGCGGCUCUUUAAGUCGGGGGUGAAAUCCUGGAGCUCAACUCCAGAACUGCCUUCGAUACUGGAGAGCUUGAGUUCGGGAGAGGUGAGUGGAACUGCGAGUGUAGAGGUGAAAUUCGUAGAUAUUCGCAAGAACACCAGUGGCGAAGGCGGCUCACUGGCCCGAUACUGACGCUGAGACGCGAAAGCGUGGGGAGCGAACAGG
rnacentral:rRNA from 1 species